GAUGAACGCUAGCGGCAGGCCUAAUACAUGCAAGUCGAACGGUAGAUUUGGUAGCAAUACUGAAUUGAGAGUGACGUAAGGGUGCGUAACACGUAUGCAAUCUGCCCUCAACAGGAGUAUAGCUCGGGGAAACUCGGAUUAACCCUCCAUAAGAUCUUAGGGUGGCAUCACCUAGAGAUUAAAACUUCGGUGGUUGAGGAUGAGCAUGCGCAUGAUUAGUUAGUUGGAGGUGUAACGGACCCCCAAGACGAUGAUCAUUAGGGGAACUGAGAGGUUGAUCCCCCACACUGGCACUGAGAUACGGGCCAGACUCCUACGGGAGGCAGCAGUAGGGAAUAUUGGUCAAUGGGUGAGAGCCUGAACCAGCCAUGCCGCGUGCAGGAAGACGGCCUUCUGGGUUGUAAACUAGCUUUUAUCUGGGGAUAAAAAGACCGUGCGCGGUUAAUUGAAGGUACCAGAUGAAUAACGCACCGGCUAACUACGUGCCAG
rnacentral:rRNA from 1 species